CGUAACUGCAAUAUAUGCAUUUUAACAUUAGAUAACUCAUAUUUUAUGUAUUUCUAAGCCAAUUGGGGGGAUAUAACACCAACACCCCCACUCCAUGCGCAGGUCACUGCGGAGCUCUGCUCUGCGCACGGUUUUAUCGUUAUGAUGGAUACUAGUCUCUAUGUUAUUGUUCGGCACUGCGCGUUAGCAUGGAACAUCAGCGUAUAUCAUUUUUUGUUACAUAAAUAUAAUAUCUACACAAAAUCUACAU